GUGUUCGCUUCAGUAGCACAUAUACUAAAACUGGAACAAAAUGGAGAGAUUGGCAUGGCCCAUACAUAAAGUUGACUCGCAGACUGGUGAAGUGUUCAAAAACAAA